rnacentral:rRNA from 1 species
ACUCCUACGGGAGGCAGCAGUGAGGAAUAUUGGGCAAUGCCCGCAAGGGUGACCCAGCAACGCCGCGUGGAGGAUGACAGCCGUAAGGUUGUAAACUCCUGUUCGGGGGGACGAAUAACCGUCGUUUGCAAAGGCGACGGCUUGACGGUACCCUCAGAGAAAGCCCCGGCUAACUACGUGCCAGCAGCCGCGGUAAUACGUAGGGGGCAAACGUUGUCCGGAUUUACUGGGUGUAAAGGGCGCGCAGGCCGGUCGGUCAGUCAGAGGUGAAAGCCCACAGCUUAACUGUGGAACUGCCUUUGAUACUGCCGAUCUUGAGUGCGGGAGAGAGAAGCGGAAUUCCAGGUGUAGUGGUGAAAUACGUAGAUAUCUGGAAGAACACCGGUUGCGAAGGCGGCUUCUUGGACCGACACUGACGCUGAGGCGCGAAAGCGUGGGUAGCGAACAGGAUUAGAUACCCUGGUAGUCCACGCUGUAAACGAUGAAUGUUAGAUGUCGGGGGAUUUUUCCUUCGGCGUCAAAGUUAACGCAUUAAACAUUCCACCUGGGAAGUACGAUCGCAAGGUUGAAACUCAAAGGAAUUGACGGGGGCCCGCACAAGCAGUGGAGCAUGUGGUUUAAUUCGAUGCAACGCGAAGAACCUUACCUAGGCUUGAAAUGUGUUCGAUCGGUCGUGAAAGCGACCUUCCUUCGGGCGGACACACAGGUGCUGCAUGGCUGUCGUCAGCUCGUGCCGCGAGGUGUUGGGUUAAGUCCCGCAACGAGCGCAACCCCUACCAUUAGUUGCCACCGGGUAAUGCCGAGCACUCUAAUGGAACUGCCUUACGCAAGUAGUGAGGAAGGUGGGGACGACGUCAAGUCCGCAUGGCCCUUACGCCUAGGGCUACACACGUGCUACAAUGGGCGCAACAAUGGGCAGCGAUACCGCGAGGUGGAGCGAAUCCCUAAAAAGCGUCCUCAGUUCGGAUUGGAGUCUGCAACUCGACUUCAUGAAGUUGGAAUUGCUAGUAAUCGCGUAUCAGCAUGACGCGGUGAAUACGUUCCCGGGCNUUGUACACACCGCCCGUCAAGCCAUGGAAGCCGGGGGUACCCAAAGAUAGCGACCCAACCUUCGGGAAGGAACUAUUUAA